AUUGAACGCUGGCGGUAGGCUUAACACAUGCAAGUCGUGCGAGAAAGUAUCUUCGGAUAUGAGUAGAGCGGCGGACGGGUGAGUAACGCGUAGGAAUCUACCUAGUAGAAGGGGAUAGCCCGAGGAAACUCGGAUUAAUACCGUAUACCUCCUUAGGGAGAAAGAGGGCCUCUCUUUGAUGCUCUCGCUAUUAGAUGAGCCUGCGUAAGAUUAGCUUGUUGGUGAGGUAAUGGCUCACCAAGGCUACGAUCUUUAGCUGGUCUGAGAGGACGAUCAGCCACAUUGGGACUGAGACACGGCCCAGACUCCUACGGGAGGCAGCAGUGGGGAAUAUUGGACAAUGGGCGCAAGCCUGAUCCAGCCAUACCGCGUGUGUGAAGAAGGCCCUAGGGUUGUAAAGCACUUUAAGCAGGGAGAAAAAGUUAUAAGUUAAUACCUUAUGGCCUUGAUGUUACCUGCAGAAUAAGCACCGGCUAAUUCCGUGCCAGCAGCCGCGGUAAUACGGAAGGUGCAAGCGUUAAUCGGAAUUACUGGGCGUAAAGCGCGCGUAGGUGGUUUGUUAAGUUGGAUGUGAAAGCCCUGGGCUCAACCUAGGAACUGCAUCCAAAACUAACUCACUAGAGUACGAUAGAGGGAGGUAGAAUUCAUAGUGUAGCGGUGGAAUGCGUAGAUAUUAUGAAGAAUACCAGUGGCGAAGGCGGCCUCCUGGAUCUGUACUGACACUAAGGUGCGAAAGCGUGGGUAGCGAACAGGAUUAGAUACCCUGGUAGUCCACGCCGUAAACGAUGACAACUAGCUGUUGGAAGACAACGUCUUUCAGUGGCGCAGCUAACGUUUUAAGUUGUCCGCCUGGGGAGUACGGCCGCAAGGCUA
rnacentral:rRNA from 1 species